GAAAGUAGGAAUUGAGCUGAUGAUUUCUUGAGUGCCUUGAGCCUUGAGGGGCUAUACUGUAUUUCUGUAUCAAAUCAGCUGUUAUCUAGGAGUAAAUGCUUCAUGCUAAACUAGAGAUCCAUUUUAUGUCACUGCCCUUAAUAAUCAGUUGCACAUUCUUUUGUAUUACUCUUGAUGUUGAGGAUUCAUGGACUGUUAUGAUUGUGGCACAGAAGUAGGAAGUUUUGUGCUAACAAAGAACUUUUGAGAUAAUGUCCAAACAAAAUCCUAAUCGGUUUUUAACAAUUCUAUCCCAAACUUACUUUUUUUAACAAAAAUACCUUAAACAUUGAACAUUUUAACAAUUGUAUCCUGCUGUUUAUUCCACUGUUAAAUCUAACAAAUUUUGCCAUGUCAGCAUAGAAAAUGUCCAAAAAAAAUCUUAAACUUUGUUUUUUUAGCAAUUGUACCCUAAAUUUUUUUUUUUGUAACAAGUAUACCCUGAACUUUGAAUUUUACCACAAUUGAACCCCAUUGUUAGUUGCUUCUUUCAAUACUAAGAGGUGUCAGUCAACACUUAUAAUUAGGAGUGUGCGGUUCUAAUACGGUUUGGGGUUUACCUAGGAACCAGAACUGAACUAAAAUUUCGGUAUGGUUUCAGUUCGGUUCUUCAUUGUUUUGGUUCUGUUUCGGUAUAAUUCUCAGUUCUUCAAUUCUAAUUCAGUUCGGUAUGAUUCUGGUUCGGUUCUCGAUUCUUGAAAUAAUUUUAUAUAAUUAUUUUCAUAAAAAAUCUUACUUGAAUUAGUAUUUAAACUUUGAAAUAUGUCAUUAAUACACAAU
rnacentral:misc_RNA from 1 species